ensembl:processed_transcript
GGGAAGAGGGGUCGCGCUUCCUCGGAAGGCUAGACGUCCCUCCCUCAGCCGGCACGGCUUCCCUCCUUGGCCCUUAAUCCCCUGGCGCGGGGGCUUGUUUCUGGGGGCGAGGCUCUGCACGGUGCUGGCAACGCCUCUCUCAUCGCCUCGUCGUAAAAAUAAUGCGUUAAAAAAAAAAAAUUCAGUUUGUUAUGCGAGCAGCAGUCCAACAGUACACAAUUAUAUCCGAAAUAGUUAAGCAAUAAAAAAAAAAAAAAUGCCGGGAGUUGUUGAGGCAGGAGGAUUACUGCGAAUUCUAAUCCACCUUGGGCUAGCUACAUACCUACGUAAGAGAUUAUGUCAAAAACCACGGAGUGGGGGAAAUUAAGUGGCGUAAUGUCUGAUUCCAUGAAAACGCCCAAUGUGUGCUGCUCCUAGGACCCUAGAGAUCCAAAGUCUCCUGCUUCCACAAAGCUUUUACAUCACCUGAGCUCUACGUAACUGUGUUUAUGACAGCAACAGCUCCACUUCUAAGUGCGAACUUGUCGGAACACGAAAGAAUGGAGUUGUGUAUUAGUGCUUGUGAGGAAACACCAAGAAAAUAUGAGCCUUGUGCGCUCAGUUCCUCCAAACAUGGAGCCUUUCUUAGAAUGUGCUUUCAUGCUUCUCCCAGGUGUAGCCUGUAGAGUGGGUUCACUUCAGAUUACUCAUGGGUUAUUUGUUUAUAUGCCUCUAUGGAAAACGUUUUUGCCAUGUGCAAUUUGUCCUUGUGAUUGUACACUUUACUCAUGUGACUCCUCUGAACACUCGGAGUAUAAAUUGAAUGUUUCUCUGAAUAAAGUUGGCUAUUGCAUGAGACUUUAGUGUGCUUCAUUUAUCAGCUGCACUACCCCAGGUCCCAUCACUUCUGGGGCAGCGACACCAGCUUUCUGUCUAGUUACUUGCUUUAUUGCCAUGGACAGAUAGCCGGCCAAAGCAACCUAAGGAGUAAAGGAUUUACCGUGCUUUUCGGUUUACUGACAGUUCACCAUGGGGGUGAAGCCAUGGCAGCAGAGCAGAGAGAGGUGAAGGAGUGCUGGCAUUAGCUUUCUUCUUUUUAUUUAUUGUAGAAACCCUGCUUUUGCUCACACUUAGAUGGGCUCUUUCCACCUCAAUAACUCAGCAUAGACACUUCCUAACAUAAUGACCAUUACCUUCCCUUCUAGGUGUUUUAGACUUUGUCAAGUUGAUAACAUUAAUCAUCAAGAAUUGUAUUAAAAUUCCAGAUCAUGGAAAAUGGAUGUUAUGUAAAUUAAUUUUAUUUUUGCAAUACUAAUGAUUGAUCCCAGAGUCUUGCAUGUGCUACCGAGUGCUGAACUACUGAGCUACACUCCCAACGAAGAAACAGGUUCUUUAUAAAGGUAAUGUAUACGUAGGCUGUGCCAGGUGCUUCAUUUGUGUUCAGUUGUGUGUAUGAGGCAGUGUCCUGUAGCCCAAGUGCCCGGGCCAUUGAACUUUUGACCCACCUGCCUCAGACCUGCUUGUAUUAGAGGUGUAAGCCACCACACAAACUGAGCAGUGGUCUCUCAUGCUAAUUUAUUUAAUUCACAGAGCCUCGAUGCUGACCCUCCUCACCCCUGUCACAGGUGGCUUAAACAGAGGUAAUAGAGAACUGAUUCAAAUUAGUUCAGUCUGAUUUUCUCUCCCAGAAUUUAUAGGUAGGUUUAGUUACUCUCAACCUAGAAAAGUAUGACACAGCCAAACAGGCCUUUGAGCCACACAUUGUGGGAUGUGGAAAUCUUUGAAGGAGCUGCACAGGCUCACCCACCUCUUCAAAUAAACAACUAAUUUAAGUCCACCCGAACAACCUCUGGCUUAAAACUAAACAUUGGUUUUGCAAGUUUUCAAGUAGAAGUUUCUUCCCAUGUAUCCUAUAAAUUUCUUAUUUAAUUCAUUUGGUUUUUUUUUUUCUCUUUACAAUUGUAACUGCUUAUCAUAGUCCCCUUUAUGUCUCAAUCUAUAGAAAUUCUUUCAUCAGCUGAGACAGUAGACGUCAAUGGCGUGUAAAUGUGACAUCAGACUUUGAAGUGCGUUCCAGAACAGUGUUUCCUAUUAGACCUUUCAGUUCUGUAACUCAGUUUGGGUGGUGAUUCAUAUGAGGAUGACAGUGAUUCAUCUGAUUUCAGUGAGCCACGGGAGCCCAAAGAAGAAGCGCAUGUCCUACAGCCCAGUGUAAAAAGAAGUUCUCACAUAUGAGUAAGAGCAUUUAGAUUCCAAUACAUUAAACAGAGCCAGGCAUAGUGACUCAUGCCUGUAGCCCCAGCACCCAAAGGCAGGAAGGUUAAGAGUUCAAGGACAGCCUGCACUACAAAGAGGACAGGCUCUGUCUCAAAAACAAACAAACAAACAAAAAUAGGCAGCACUAACAACAACAACAACCACUAAAGCACACUUUGGAAUGAUGGAAACCAUUUCAAGAGGACUACUUUUCACUUAUAAGACAAUAAGCAGUAGAGGACACAACUGAAUAAGGGUCUGCAAUAGAAGAGACAAAGGUGAAAGGAAAUUGAUACUUCAUCAUUAAUUCGAGCACAUGAUUUUUUCCAAAGCCCAUCUUACCAGACAUAUUUAAGAACAUAAUUGCUGGGGUUUUAGACAUCAUAUAAUGUAUCAUAUAAUCCAGUGCCACCUACUGCAGUACCUCACUGGAGAUGGACCAUCAUGUUCAAUAAAAAAAUGUCAAGC